UACGAAGGGGGCUAGCGUUGCUCGGAAUCACUGGGCGUAAAGCGCACGUAGGCGGAUUGCUAAGUCAGGGGUGAAAUCCUGGAGCUCAACUCCAGAACUGCCUUUGAUACUGGCGAUCUUGAGUCCGGGAGAGGUGAGUGGAACUGCGAGUGUAGAGGUGAAAUUCGUAGAUAUUCGGAAGAACACCAGUGGCGAAGGCGGCUCACUGGUCCGGUACUGACGCUGAGGUGCGAAAGCGUGGGGAGCAAACAGG
rnacentral:rRNA from 1 species